rnacentral:rRNA from 1 species
CCUACGGGAGGCAGCAGUGGGGAAUAUUGGGCAAUGGGCGCAAGCCUGACCCAGCAACGCCGCGUGAAGGAAGAAGGCUUUCGGGUUGUAAACUUCUUUUUUCAGGGGAGAGUAGAAGACGGUACCUGACGAAUAAGCCACGGCUAACUACGGGCCAGCAGCCGCGGUAAUACGUAGGUGGCAAGCGUUGUCCGGAUUUACUGGGUGUAAAGGGCGUGUAGGCGGGUUGACAAGUCAGAUGUGAAAUCCUGCGGCUUAACCGCAGAACUGCCUUUGAAACUGUUGAUCUUGAGUACUGGAGAGGCAGACGGAAUUCGUGGUGUAGCGGUGAAAUGCAUAGAUAUUAGGAGGAACACCAGUGGCGAAGGCGGUCUGCUGG